rnacentral:rRNA from 1 species
UACGUAGGGGGCAAGCGUUGUCCGGAUUUAUUGGGCGUAAAGAGCGUGUAGGCGGCCAGACAAGUCUGCUGUGAAAACUCGAGGCUUAACCUCGAGAUGUCAUCGGAAACCAUUUGGCUAGAGUCCGGAAGAGGAGAGUGGAAUUCCUGGUGUAGCGGUGAAAUGCGCAGAUAUCAGGAAGAACACCAAUGGCGAAAGCAGCUCUCUGGGACGGUACUGACGCUGAGACGCGAAAGCGUGGGGAGCGAACAGG